rnacentral:sRNA from 1 species
CCCCAUUCAAAGCAUUCAUUUUUCUGACCAAUUUCCCCUUGUGUGCGACAUCAAACGACAGUUAUAUAUAUCCUGUAGCUGAUGCAGGAUUACCUUGGACCACAAGGUGCGCCUUCAAAACCAUACAUUCUUUGUUCAUCGAACUUUUACCUGAACUACCUCGCUGAUUAUCAAUUGAACAUGCAUCAGAGCCGGCGUCCGGCUAUGUAAUCUACAUUCUUUCGUUACAACCGUUUACGUUAUUUGUCUCUUCUGAUAUAUGGACAUAAACCAGUCAGAAGUUUGGGGGGACAUAUGGAUAGUCUACAAUCAAAGUAAUAUAUGAUUUCCCUGAAAAAGAUCACGAGCUGGAAUAGGUGAUGUUCUCCAAUAUCAAUAUGCAGAAGAACUGCCACCAGCCAGCCGCUAUCUUCAACGUCUGAGGCUAGGGUAGCUCAGAAGGAGCAGUCCUUAAGAUUAUCCACCAGUGGAGCAUCCUAGCAAUAAUAUUGAGUAUACAUGACAAUCCAUUUUUGUUAAUUAUGCGAACGCUUGGGAUGUGUUUUGCGACCUACAUAGGCGACAAAUCGACUCAGCAGCCUAUAGGCUACGCAACACAACGGCCUCGGGAAGUCUUUUGAUUAUAUGGAUGACAUGACGCAAAGGUGGGCCAGGAAGGCAUGGCAUUCAUAUAGGUUUCCCCGGUUCGCUUCCAGAUCUCUCCAGCCAUCUGUUUCGACGGUGGGCAAUCUCAAUGACAACCGCUGUGCCUGCCUCCCUCCUUCUCUGGCUGAUAAAAGCCGAAGCGCAACAUCCU